GAACCGUUGUUCAUCUUCCAAUCGCCACGACCGCCCGUCCUCCUUCCCAUGGAUGUUCUAGCCGUGACCUAAGGCCCCCUUCUCACAAAUGCUCAUGAAAACACCUAAUUAAUCCCAACAUUCAAUCACUGCAAACUGCUAUAGAUUGAACUCAUCCACCGCCGCCUCGAGGUUAUAAGAAAGGCCAUGCCGCCAUCCGCAUCAGGCCAUCAACCACGCCAGCCUGCUCGAGCCUACACCACUGACGGCGGCCACCACGCUGGUACCUCGCCGCUUCCGUUUCGAAUUCGGCCACCAUGCUGGUACGUCGCCGCUCCCCAUUCUUAUCCCUCAGUUUUUUCAAUCCCUAAAUACGUAUUCCUAAUCUGUAUUCCUAAUCUGCUAGGUUGACCUCCGGCCGGAAUCCACUUCACGAUUUGACCCUGGAUCCGAUUAUAUUGGUUUCUGCAAGUUGCUGCAUCAGACCCCCUCAAAUUCUUUGAAUAUUUUGGUUUCUUACUCUGGUCGCUCAAGCUGGAAGACGCUGGCCAUCAGCUCCUAACACCCCUCAAUUUAUUUGGAUAUUUCGGAGCUAGAAGACGCUAGCCAUCAUCUCCUGUACUGCCUGACUCUGCACUACACCUACUUCCGUUGGUAAUCCAAUCCUCGAAUCUAAUCCUCUUAAAUUUUAGUUUGCAUUGCCGAAGCACACGCACCCUCUCCUCAAUUAAUUAAUUAGUUACAUCCUAAUUUGCUCUCCAACAAUCUUCCGUCAGUGCAUGUGUUCAGAAAAUUUGGCUACAUACCACAACAACAGUAACUGGUAGACAUUGUGUGCGUUUUAACAAUGGAUACCUCUGAAGAUCCUACAAGCCAUCCUGCCUAAUGAGAUGUAAUGGGCUGCCGCAUACAUUCCAAGUAUACGUGGUGAAUUAACUUAUCUAUUGCAGAGCUCAUUUAAAGGUAUGGCAUUUGAAAUCCUUUACAGAUUUUACCUUAACUAUGCUCUUUUCAUUAUCCAUUCUUUAAAUACUUUUGAUUGCUUGACAACUCUUUACAUCCAGCAAAUACUUUCAGUUUUUUUUUUGUUCACACAGAGCUUUGGAAAGAUUACGGUGAUGUGAAAUUUUCUGAUGAGGGACCUUCAAAUUUCGGUGUACCUGAAGUCUGUCAAUGUGCAAUCCUUGCAAUACUUGAGAGUUCAGACCCUACUUAUUUAACUUGAAAUAUUAAAUUUGUAGCUGAUGUUAUUUCCUUAUAAGAGUACCACUCAUGAGUUAACUAUUCCAUGUUUGUCCAUGGUAAUCAUUGCCACCUAAUCCCAGCGAAAAAUUGCAUGUUAUAUAUGA